GACGAACGCUGGCGGCGUGCUUAACACAUGCAAGUCGAACGGUGAAGCGCCUUCCUUUUUGGUGGGUGUGGAUGAGUGGCGAACGGGUGAGUAACACGUGAGUAACCUGCCCCCUUCUUCUGGAUAACCGCAUGAAAGUGUGGCUAAUACGGGAUAUUCUGGGUCUGUCGCAUGAUGGGUCUGGGAAAGAUAUUGUUUCGGUGGGGGAUGGGCUCGCGGCCUAUCAGCUUGUUGGUGGGGUGAUGGCCUACCAAGGCGGUGACGGGUAGCCGGCCUGAGAGGGUGGACGGUCACACUGGGACUGAGGCACGGCCCAGACUCAUACGGGAGGCAGCAGUGGGGAAUAUUGCACAAUGGGCGCAAGCCUGAUGCAGCGACGCCGCGUGAGGGAUGGAGGCCUUCGGGUUGUGAACCUCUUUCGCUAGUGAAGCAGGCCUGCCUCGUUUGUGGGUGGGUUGACGGUAGCUGGAUAAGAAGCGCCGGCUAACUACGUG
rnacentral:rRNA from 1 species